rnacentral:rRNA from 1 species
GGAUUAAUUUACUGGUCGUGCUAUUGUACGUACUGGUUUUAUUGAUUCCUCCCUUCUGACGAACUAUGAUGCCAUUAAUUUGGUGUCUUAGGGAAUCAGGACUGUUACUUUGAAAAAAUUAGAGUGUUUAAAGCAGGCUCACGCUUGAAUACAUUAGCAUGGAAUAAUAGAAUAGGACUU